rnacentral:rRNA from 1 species
ACGCACGCUGGCGGCGUGCUUAACACCUGCAAGUCGAACGGAAAGGCCCUGCUUUUGUGGGGUGCUCGAGUGGCGAACGGGUGAGUAACACGUGAGUAACCUGCCCUUGACUUUGGGAUAACUUCAGGAAACUGGGGCUAAUACCGGAUAGGAGCUCCUGCUGCAUGGUGGGGGUUGGAAAGUUUCGGCGGUUGGGGAUGGACUCGCGGCUUAUCAGCUUGUUGGUGGGGUAGUGGCUUACCAAGGCUUUGACGGGUAGCCGGCCUGAGAGGGUGACCGGCCACAUCGGGACUGAGAUACGGCCCAGACUCCUACGGGAGGCAGCAGUGGGGAAUAUUGCACAAUGGGCGGAAGCCUGAUGCAGCAACGCCGCGUGCGGGAUGACGGCCUUCGGGUUGUAAACCGCUUUCGCCUGUGACGAAGCGUGAGUGACGGUAAUGGGUAAAGAAGCACCGGCUAACUACGUG